rnacentral:rRNA from 1 species
GUGAGGAAUAUUGCGCAAUGGAGGCAACUCUGACGCAGCCAUGCCGCGUGCAGGAAGAAGGCGCUACGCGUUGUAAACUGCUUUUAACCGGGAAGAAACCCCAGGACGUGUCCUGGGUUGACGGUACCGGAGGAAUAAGCACCGGCUAACUUCGUGCCAGCAGCCGCGGUAAUACGAAGGGCGCAAGCGUUAUCCGGAUGCAUUGGGUUUAACGGGUGCGUAGGCGGAGCGUUAAGUCAGUGGUGAAUUCCUGCAGCUUAACUGUAGACUUGCCAUUGAUACUGGCGCUCUUGAGUGCGCUUGAAGUGGGCGGAAUGUGCCGUGUAGCGGUGAAAUGCUUAGAUAUGGCACAGAACACCAAUUGCGAAGGCAGCUCACUAAGGCGAUACUGACGCUGAGGCACGAAAGCGUGGGGAUCGAACAGGAUUAGAUACCCGUGUAGUCC